rnacentral:lncRNA from 1 species
CAUGCAAAGCGAUCGACAUCCAUGACAGAGCAUCUCGUUAUGAAGAUCUUUAUUUAUUGAAUCCUUCUUUAUCUACAAUCUGGUACAAUCGUCUCGAUCAAAGGACAUAAAUCUCUAUUUGAAACUCCAUGACGAAACACUCCAUUAGUGGCAUUACUCGUCAGUUUACUCCAUUAGAAUUACAGUCACAAGGAGCUAACUUGACUAUUUCAUUUGAGGUAAGAAACUAACUUAAAAAAUCCUGAUUCAUUUGUGGUAAGUAGCAUGAAACGUUGUGCCAAUAUUGAACUGAAUUGGUAUAAUUUUAAUAAUAAUAUGAUGUAUUUAUUUUUAUCCGGACUUAAAGUUAAUCAUUGUACAUGGACCAUAGAAUAUAUUAGAACUCUUUUUUUAUUUCAUUGUCAAUACUGCAGUCGUACGUCUACUUAAUCCACCUAGGCAGGCUAAAAGUUAAUAUCCACGGUUGAAUGAAACUUUGAAGGUCUGUAUUGGAGUUGGAUUAUAUUCAGAAAUUUAAAAAUCUGAAAACUAAUUGUAAUAUGUGGAAAUAAUGAAUAAUUCCAAGACGCAACACUUUUUUUCAAUCUUGACUUGUGAGAAUUUAUAUUGAGAACAUUUUUGGUACAGUGUACCGGCGAUUCAAAUCUUUGUGGCAAGGCCAAGGGUAUAGAAGAUGUGAUAUGCAUAGACUAUAUAUGUUUUAAUAGCCAGCUUAGAUAAAUAUGAAUAUAUAAUGACACGACAAUAAAUUAGAAGAAGAGUGUGCAUUCAUUUAGGAGAUCAACUUGCUGGAAUAAAAUUUAUCACGGUACAAAAUUAAACUGCUAAAUUAUGUACUAUUUUAUCGAGAACAUACACCGUAUGUAAAGACUCGAGUCUCAACAAUAGCCGCGAAAUGUCUAGACAAGCGGUGAGACAAAGGAUUUCUUAUAAAUUAUAUAAUAGCUACCACAUGGGUUGCUUCUUGAUGGCACGAGAGACUUAAUUCCAGAACGAUCAUUUUCUAGUGUGUUCCGCUUAUUUUCAUUAUCAAUACUCGAUAGAAAAUAUCAAUAUUAGAUCAGUGGCAGUUCGCCAAAUCGAGGCAGUUCCUGAUAACUAAAAAAAUAGUCUUAGAAUGGCAGUUCGCCAGAUCGAGGCAAUAAGUACGAAGUCGCAGACUCGCAGUUCUUUGAAAAUUUGACUAAGUUGGGCUUCUUUCCAUUGCUUUGUAUUAAAAUGAUAGCUGAUAUACAGGGUGUCUAAAAAAAAACGGUAUGGAAAUUCAACAGGCUGUCGUGCAUCAUAAACGUGGCUAAACAAUUCAAUUUUUAAAUAGGACGAAAGAACAGUUAUUUAGGUUUUCAAUGAUACUCUUUUUAAAUCGUAACGAUGAGAAAUGGCCACAUACUCGCCAAAUAAAAAUUGCCGGUCGAAAUCACAUUCUUCCACCGUUGGGAGUUGCAUGGAAAACGAAACAUAAACAAUUCCCAAGAGGGAAUUAAAAUUGAAUGUUAAAUUAUCUAAAAUAAGCUCAACUCGUCCAUCUUUGUCUCAGUGAGACCAUAGGAACGUUAAACAUGGUUCCAUUAACCCCUGAACAGAGAACAUUCGUAAUCAAAACGUUUUACGAAACAAGUACCUUGAGACACCCUGUAGUUAAACUCGGAUGAAACGAGGAUGCAUGAGAGUUGACAGUCACGCGAGCUUGGUUAGCUGUUCUUAAUGCUUUCCCAACACUAUCAUGUAUUUUAUUUAAGUUGAAACAUAGUUGGAACACUCGUCAAACCUUUAUUUUGUUAAUCUAGAGCUUGAAAUGUCCCCUGUAACAAUGCGUGACAUUCUCGUUUAACCGGGGCUUAAGAAUCGAUAUGGGUAGGAGUAGAUAGAUAAAAGUUCCAUAGGAAAACAGGAUAUGAGCAGGUAGAUUGAAGGAAUAUUGAGAGGCAUGACCAAUAUUCAUUUCUACCACCAGCGUUGGACAAUAUCAUGUAGAAAAUGCGAAGUCAUUUCAACACUCUCAGCUACAUUGAACAUUGUUUCUUCAACGCCAAUUUUCCAUGAAGUAAGACAACAGCAAUCAAGUAACAGUACAUUUUGAAAAAUAUCACUGCAUCUUUGCCAAACUGGUAGGAAAAUACUUAUCUCCCCCCACGACAUCUGCACGGGAAUUCCAACGGCAACGGACGAAUUGGGUUGAGUCAUCUUUUCUUAUCGAAUUUUCUUCCUUGUUUUGCAGGUUCAUGACAGCCAACGCCUGCAUCCUGUCAAUGUUCAACUGAC